GCCGGCGAUGGUCCGGACCGGGCCCCCCGGCCCUCAGGCAGCGGGGAGCCGGGGCGAGGAGCCCGCGGUUCGGUUUCCGCAUCAACAAAAUUGAAGCUGCUCAGGAGGAGCCGCCUCUAUUUGGUUUCCAUAAACUGCUGGAGUUCAACCUCCAUGAACAGUUCUGCAGUGGACUCGAAUGAGGCUGCAAAGCGAGAGAAAGCAGCAGAGCUGGGAACAGCAGACAGGUGUCCUGAGUCAUCUCCAGGCAGACACACCAGUACAACAGCAGCACGCAGGAGAUGGAGAUCUCAGUUGAAG